AUUGAACGCUGGCGGCAGGCUUAACACAUGCAAGUCGAGCGAGUGGCGGACGGGUGAGUAAUGUUUGGGAAUCUAGCCUAUGGAGGGGGAUAACUACGGGAAACGGUAGCUAAUACCGCGUACCAUAGGAUGAGCCCAAGGGGGAUUAGGUAGUUGGUGGGGUAAAGGCUCACCAAGCCGACGAUCUCUAGCUGGUCUGAGAGGAUGACCAGCCACACUGGGACUGAGACACGGCCCAGACUCCUACGGGAGGCAGCAGUGGGGAAUAUUGCGCAAUGGGGGCAACCUGAUGCAGCCAUGCCGCGUGAAUGAAGAAGGCCUUCGGGUUGUAAAGUACUUUCGGUGGCGAGGCGUUAACUACAGAAGAAGCACCGGCUAACUCCGUGCCAGCAGCCGCGGUAAUAC
rnacentral:rRNA from 1 species